AAGGCUUCUCAGCCUUUUGGCUAAGAUCAAGUGUAGUAUCUG
rnacentral:snRNA from 1 species